CAACACACAGACAGAAAAUGACAAAUAAACACACACACUCACACACACACACACAGGAGCCCACAGAAAAAAGCAAAUAGACGCAGAAACGGGCACGUGCAGUAGUUCUGGCCACACAUGUUCCCUAGGUAUCCACAGAAUGGCAUGGGUAUUGUAUAUUCAUAAAGAUGGAGAUCAGUCAUGGAGGCCAAGGACAAGUAGGUGCACUGGUUGAACUACAGUAGAGAAUGGCAUGGAAGUGGUGAGCAAUGGACCUGGGCCUGUUUCUCAAGUGUGUAUUUGAUUUCUUUACAAUUCCCCGGAGAAGUUGUCAUGGGAGGCCAGCCGCCUGCUGGCAAGGAAGAUGGUUGAUUCUUCUGAUCAAUGGAGGCCCUGCAGAGUCCUGUAGUCACUGUGGCCUGGCAUCCAUGGUGCACCCAAUGCUGGUGGAUGGCUUAGGACGGGGCAGUUAUCAUGGGACACCCGCCAUAUGCUGGCAAGGAAGAUGGUCAGUUCUUCUGAGCCACAAAGGCCCCC
rnacentral:lncRNA from 1 species